AUUAAACGCUGGCGGCAUGCCUUACACAUGCAAGUCGAACGGCAGCACGGGGGCAACCCUGGUGGCGAGUGGCGAACGGGUGAGUAAAGCAUCGGAACGUGCCCUGGAGUGGGGGAUAACGUAGCGAAAGUUACGCUAAUACCGCAUAUUCUGUGAGCAGGAAAGCAGGGGAUCGCAAGACCUUGCGCUCUGGGAGCGGCCGAUGUCGGAUUAGCUAGUUGGUGGGGUAAAGGCCCACCAAGGCGACGAUCCGUAGCUGGUCUGAGAGGAUGAUCAGCCACACUGGAACUGAGACACGGUCCAGACUCCUACGGGAGGCAGCAGUGGGGAAUAUUGGACAAUGGGCGCAAGCCUGAUCCAGCAAUGCCGCGUGUGUGAAGAAGGCCU
rnacentral:rRNA from 1 species